CCUACGUGUGGCAGCAGUGAGGAAUAUUGGUCAAUGGUCGGGAUACUGAACCAGCCAAGCCGCGUGAGGGAGGACGGUACUGUGUAUCGUAAACCUCUUUUGUCAGGGAACAAAGCCCGGGACGAGUCCCCGGCUGCGUGUACCUGAAGAAAAAGCAUCGGCUAACUCCGUGCCAGCAGCCGCGGUAAUACGGAGGAUGCGAGCGUUAUCCGGAUUUAUUGGGUUUAAAGGGUUCGUAGGCGGUCUGUUAAGUCAGCGGUAAAAUCGCGGGGCUCAACCCCGGCGCGCCGUUGAAACUGGCAGACUCGAGUUGGAGAGAAGUAUGCGGAAUGCGCGGUGUAGCGGUGAAAUGCAUAGAUAUCGCGCAGAACUCCGAUUGCGAAGGCAGCGUACCGGCUCCACACUGACGCUGAGGCACGAAAGCGUGGGGAUCGAACAGGAUUAGAUACCCGAGUAGUC
rnacentral:rRNA from 1 species